CAGGAAGCCCUGAGGCGGACCUACAUCCCGCAACAGGCCCAGGAACGCCUCUGUGUGCCAUUGGUGAAAGUGAAAAACGUGUCCAAAGACCGGAAAAUCUGGGCUUCGCGACUAGAAUUGCUGCCUUUGCCAUCCUGACUUGGAUAAGUGAAAGAAACCAGAUGGAUGGAUGUGAGGUUCUGUUGGCCUUGAACCCCCAGAUGCAGAGACAACAGGCGUUGAACAGCUGAGUAGCGCCUACGUCGGUGGAGCAGCCCGGUGACCCCGUCUGCGCCAAGAGGACAGGACCCGUUGAACGGAGUGCUGGAGUUUGACUGGCAGGAAGAACUUAAUGUAACGGAGGCCAGGUCUGGACCAUGUGGACCUUGGCCAACUAGUACUGGACAUGGAGUUGACGGCCUUCCAGCUGGAGGUUGGAGUCCAAGGACAGAACCGAGCGAGUUACACGGGCCAAUCAAAAUGGAGGCAAGUGGAGUCA